rnacentral:lncRNA from 1 species
AGUUUGAGGAAAUUAUUUUGCUUCUAUUUAUAGCUCUGUCAAAAGUCAGAAGACUCUAAAUGCUUUGCAAAAAUGGUUUCACAUUUGCUUAAAUGCUUCAUCACAGUCACAUUUAAAAUAGUGACUCUAAACAAAGAAGAAAGCAGCACUGUCAUCAGAUGCAUGAUAAACCAAAAUAUGAAAAUGGGAAAUGUUUAAUUAACCUAGUCAUUGGGUGGGUUAAGUACAUGGGUGAAUUUUAUAUGUCACUGGUAGUUCUAGUAUGGAAUGGGAGAAGUGAAAGUUCAGUUCUAGAACUUUCCAUACUUCCAAGUUUACUGCAAGUUUUUAUGCUUGAGAGAGAUGCUUUCUAAUAUAAGACUGAUGUGUUGAUUUUACUGAUUGUACUGUACAUCUAUUAAAGCCUUAGAUUAUUACAUUACGGGUUGGAACCCAUACCAAUGUAAUUUCAAUCGUGUUAAGAGAGUAAUGGUGACUCCACAUGUUAUUGUAGUUAGUUACAUUAUAGAAUA